CUUGAAACCACGAGUAAUUACCUGGCAUUAUUUCAUUAUCUCAGCUGGUUUUAUGACUUCGAACAUAUGAGAGUACUCUAACAUGUAAAAUAAUUCUUUCUCAGGUUCCAAAUAAGUCAACAGUAGGUCAAAAAUAGAGGUGAAACAUUGCCAGGCAGGCAGACACACAACAACAGUCGAUGAUUAUAGCUUAAGGUCCAAUGAGGAUAAUAUAAGUAGUGGAAAACGGAAUUUUGUAUCCACACCCCUAUUGAUCAAGGAGUAAGUCAACAUGAUACAAGGAACGUACAACAACACCCGAGACAAUAUAAUUACAACACUGCAAAAAAUUAGAGAUCCAUGUAAUCAAAUAUCUCUUUGUUAAAUUUUAGCUGAACAACUUAACUUAUAGAGUGCCGAUGGUUCAGAUCUUUUUCCUUUUAAUUAACAUGUGAGUUAUUAUAAAGUGGGUAAUUUCUUUUUGCGGUAUAUAAAGUGGGUAAUUUGUAUAGACUAAGACAUGGAAAAAGGGUGUAGGUGGUGCAAAUUCAUAGCAAGUUUUAUAUUGGAUGCACACAAACAACUGUGUGGACACACAAAAAGAAAACAAUCACUUUGAAAGUUUGAAUAGAAAUGUCUAAAUGAACAUCAGAUGGUCUAGUGUCUCCACUGAAAGCACUACAUGGACCCCUCAUUAACAAUUUAGCAAUGAACAAACAAUUCUAGUAUUUAGACAUGAGAAUACCUUGUACAGAAUUUCAAAGCCAUAAAAACGUUACCACUGGUUUGGGUAUCCUAGAAAUAAAAUAGAGGUAAUAAAUUCCUUAUAACUAAUCAGGUGAACAUAGAAAAUUGAUUACCUCUGGUUUGAUCCCAUGUGCUCUAGCCAAAAAUAGAUCAAAUCGGCAGGAUAUCCUAUAAGGAAACAAAUCUAGCAAGGAAACUGAUUAUUAUUAUAUCUAAUUUCCAGCUACCAGUGGUAGGCGCAAAGUGGAACACUAUUACGUAGGACAACAAAUUUGGGCAGGAGGAAGUAUAAUGGUUAUGAAUGCCAGGCAAAGUGUAUUAAGUUCAUAACUAUGAGCAUGCAAAUAAUUUAUAUGAAGGGUCCCUUUUCUUCUGCAUAAGUCAGACAU
rnacentral:lncRNA from 1 species